CAGCCACCCUUUAAAGAGUGCGUAAUAGCUCACUGGUCAAGUGGUCCUGCGCCGACAAUGUAGCGGGGCUCAAGCACACCGCCGAAGCCGUGUCAUUUCGACUUAGGUCGGGAUGGGUAGGGGAGCGUCGUUCAGCCAUUGAAGCGCCGGAGUGAUCCAGGUGUGGAGGCUGGACGAGUGAGAAUGCAGGCAUGAGUAGCGAAAGACG
rnacentral:ncRNA from 1 species